GAGUUUGAUCCUGGCUCAGGAUGACCUCUAGCGGCCCGCUUAACACAUGCAAGUCGAGGGGCAGCGCGGAGUAGCAAUACUCUGGCGGCGACCGGCGAAAGGGUGCGUAACGCGUGAGCGACAUGCCCGUGACUGGGGUAUAACCGAUGGAAACGUCGACUAAUCCCCCAUAACACCAUAGGCUCCAUGGUCUUUGGUUGAAAAUCCAGGUGGUCACGGAUUGGCUCCCGUCUGAUUAGCUAGUCGGCGGGGUAACGGCCCACCGAGGCGACGAUCAGUAGGGGUUCUGAGAGGAAGGUCCCCCACAAUGGAACUGAGACACGGUCCAUACUCCUACGGGAGGCAGCAGUGAGGAAUAUUGGUCAAUGGGCGCAAGCCUGAACCAGCCAUGCCGCGUGCAGGAAGACGGCCCUAUGGGUUGUAAACUGCUUUUGUUGUGGAGCAAUAAGGUCCUCGUGCAGGUCCGAUGAGAGUACACAGCGAAUAAGCAUCGGCUAACUCCGUGCCAGCAGCCGCGGUAAUACGGAGGAUGCAAGCGUUAUCCGGAUUUAUUGGGUUUAAAGGGUGCGCAGGCGGCCUUUUAAGUCAGCGGUAAAAUCGUGGGGCUCAACCCCAUCCUGCCGUUGAUACUGGAGGGCUUGAUUGCGGUUGAGGUUGGCGGAAUUCGUCGUGUAGCGGUGAAAUGCAUAGAUAUGACGAAGAACACCGAUUGCGUAGGCAGCUGACCAAGCCGUAAAUGACGCUCAUGCACGAAAGUGCGAGGAUCGAACAGGAUUAGAUACCCUGGUAGUCCGCACAGUAAACGAUGAAUACUUGUUCUUGGCGAUAUACAGUCAGGGGCAAAGCGAAAGCGAUAAGUAUUCCACCUGGGGAGUACGCCGGCAACGGUGAAACUCAAAGGAAUUGACGGGGGCCCGCACAAGCGGAGGAACAUGUGGUUUAAUUCGAUGAUACGCGAGGAACCUUACCCGGGCUUGAAAGUUAGCGACGGACCUGGAAACAGGUCUUCCCUUCGGGGCGCGAAACUAGGUGCUGCAUGGUUGUCGUCAGCUCGUGCCGUGAGGUGUCGGCUUAAGUGCCAUAACGAGCGCAACCCCUGCCGCCAGUUGCCAGCGAGUUAAGUUGGGGACUCUGGCGGGACUGCCAUCGCAAGGUGCGAGGAAGGCGGGGAUGACGUCAAAUCAGCACGGCCCUUACGUCCGGGGCGACACACGUGUUACAAUGGGGGGUACAGAGGGCAGCGACCUGGCGACAGGGAGCGAAUCUCAGAAAGCCCCUCUCAGUUCGGAUCGGAGUCUGCAACUCGACUCCGUGAAGCUGGAUUCGCUAGUAAUCGCGCAUCAGCCAUGGCGCGGUGAAUACGUUCCCGGGCCUUGUACACACCGCCCGUCA
rnacentral:rRNA from 1 species